rnacentral:rRNA from 1 species
UCAGACGAUGCGUCAUGCAUAUCAAUAAGCGGAGGAAAAGAAACUAACAAGGAUUCCCUUAGUAACGGCGAGUGAAGCGGGAAGAGCUCAAAUUUGAAAUCUUCAAGGUUUUACCUUGACGAAUUGUAGUUUAAAGAAGUGUUUUCUGUUGAAGUUUUGGUAAAAGUUCUUUGGAAUAGGACAUCAUAGAGGGUGAGAAUCCCGUAUUUGACCAUUCUUUCUAGCUUUGUGAUACACUUUCAAAGAGUCGGAUUGUUUGGGAAUGCAGUCCAAAAUGGGUGGUAAAUUUCAUCUAAAGCUAAAUAUUGGCGAGAGACCGAUAGCGAACAAGUACCGUGAGGGAAAGAUGAAAAGAACUUUGAAAAGAGAGUUAAACAGUACGUGAAAUUGUCAAAAGGGAAGCGUUUGACACCAGUGUUGUUUUCUCGAAAAUCAAUUAAAAAGAGUUGGAUUUUGUGUUGUAUUGACCUUAACAGCUUGCUUCACUCUUUUCCUGCUUUUUUUAAUGCACUUUUCGUUUAACAAGUCAACAUCAGUUUCUUUUGUUGUAAAAGGGUCAUUGGAAGGUGGCUUUCUCUUCGGAGAAAGUGUUUAUAGCCUUUGAUCUCUGCAAUCGGAGAGACUGAGGUCUGCAGCGUAGAUCCUUCGGGGUUAGAUACAUUUGUGCUAAGUUAUAGCCUUUUAUAGACAACUUGUUGACUAUGAUUCGGUCAUGUAAUUUACUCGCUAGUGCUAUUUUACCUACGCUUAGGAUGUUGAUAUGCAUGACUGAUAU